rnacentral:rRNA from 1 species
UACGGAGGGUGCGAGCGUUGUUCGGAAUCAUUGGGCGUAAAGGGCGUGUAGGUGGUCUGCUAAGUCAUGUGUGAAAGCCCCCCAGCUCAACUGGGGAAGUGCGCAUGAAACUGACAGGCUAGAGUACCGAAGAGGAAGGUGGAAUUCCUGGUGUAGCGGUGAAAUGCGCAGAUAUCAGGAGGAACACCAAUGGCGAAGGCAGCUCGCUGGGACGUGACUGACGCUGAGACGCGAAAGCGUGGGGAGCAAACAGG